UACGUAGGGAGCGAGCGUUGUCCGGAAUUACUGGGUGUAAAGGGAGCGUAGGCGGGAUCGCAAGUCAGAUGUGAAAACUAUGGGCUUAACCCAUAAACUGCAUUUGAAACUGUGGUUCUUGAGUGAAGUAGAGGUAAGCGGAAUUCCUAGUGUAGCGGUGAAAUGCGUAGAUAUUAGGAGGAACAUCAGUGGCGAAGGCGGCUUACUGGGCUUUAACUGACGCUGAGGCUUGAAAGCGUGGGGAGCAAACAGG
rnacentral:rRNA from 1 species